rnacentral:rRNA from 1 species
GAAAAGAACCCCGGGAGGGGAGUGAAAUAGAUCCUGAAACCGCAUGCAUACAAACAGUGGGAGCCUCGCAAGGGGUGACUGCGUACCUUUUGUAUAAUGGGUCAGCGACUUACGUUCAGUUGCGAGCUUAACCGAAUAGGGGAGGCGUAGCGAAAGCGAGUCUGAACAGGGCGUUCAGUAGCUGGGCGUAGACCCGAAACCGGAUGAUCUAUCCAUGGCCAGGUUGAAGGUGCGGUAACACGCACUGGAGGACCGAACCCACUAGUGUUGCAAAACUAGGGGAUGAGCUGUGGAUAGGGGUGAAAGGCUAAACAAAUCCGGAGAUAGCUGGUUCUCCUCGAAAACUAUUUAGGUAGUGCCUCGUGUAUCACUCUCGGGGGUAGAGCACUGUAAUGGUUGGGGGGUCGAUCUAGACCUACCCCGCCAUAGCAAACUCCGAAUACCGAGAAGUGCGAGC